rnacentral:rRNA from 1 species
AACGAACGCUGGCGGCAGGCCUAACACAUGCAAGUCGAGCGAGGACUUCGGUCCUAGCGGCGGACGGGUGAGUAACGCGUGGGAACGUGCCCUUUGGUACGGAAUAGCCCCGGGAAACUGGGAGUAAUACCGUAUGGUGUCUUCGGACUAAAGAUUUAUCGCCAAAGGAUCGGCCCGCGUUGGAUUAGGUAGUUGGUGGGGUAAUGGCCUACCAAGCCGACGAUCCAUAGCUGGUUUGAGAGGAUGAUCAGCCACACUGGGACUGAGACACGGCCCAGACUCCUACGGGAGGCAGCAGUGGGGAAUCUUAGACAAUGGGGGCAACCCUGAUCUAGCCAUGCCGCGUGAGUGAUGAAGGCCCUAGGGUUGUAAAGCUCUUUCGGCUGGGAAGAUAAUGACGGUACCAGCAGAAGAAGCCCCGGCUAACUCCGUG